rnacentral:rRNA from 1 species
UACGGAGGAUCCGAGCGUUAUCCGGAUUUAUUGGGUUUAAAGGGUGCGCAGGCGGAAGAUUAAGUCGGUGGUGAAAUUUUGCAGCUCAACUGUAAAAGUGCCUUCGAAACUGGUUUCCUUGAGUGUAGAUGAAGUAGGCGGAAUUUGUGGUGUAGCGGUGAAAUGCAUAGAUAUCACGAGGAACUCCGAUUGCGAAGGCAGCUUACUAAGCCAUAACUGACGCUCAAGCACGAAGGCGUGGGGAUCAAACAGGAUUAGAUACCCGGGUAGUCCCU